UACGUAGGGGGCAAGCGUUAUCCGGAUUUACUGGGUGUAAAGGGAGCGUAGGCGGCAGUGCAAGUCAGAAGUGAAAGCCCGGGGCUCAACUCCGGGACUGCUUUUGAAACUGUACAGCUUGAUUGCAGGAGAGGCAAGUGGAAUUCCUAGUGUAGCGGUGAAAUGCGUAGAUAUUAGGAGGAACACCAGUGGCGAAGGCGACCUGCUAGAACAUAACUGACGCUGAUGCGCGAAAGCGUGGGGAGCAAACAGG
rnacentral:rRNA from 1 species